GCAAGCUGGAGGCGAUUAGGAGGUGUUUCUACAUCUUUUAUGGCGCUAAGUAAUUAAUUAAGUGUUUAUGCGGUGAGUGGACAGGGAGAUUUGUUGGUUGCACCUCGAUUAAUUCGAUAAUUUAUGCAAGUAAUCGAUUGGCUAAGAAGUCUCUGGCAUAAGUCUAUUAAUUAUGUCUCUGAUUUGCAAGUGGAGCUAGUCUCAGGUAGUUUGGCAAUAGCUUCACUUCCAGCAAUAGACUUCUGUUCCAAAAAAAACCCCCAUGAAUCAGAGCUCGUCAAGAUAGCAAGAUCGUCAAGAGUUUCCCGUUCGCCCACAAUCCCAGAUAAUGGGGACUCCAGUUCCAUAUUUGUGAAAGACAAUCGGCAGACAGGGAACGUGUCUAAUUGGCAGAUUCAAAAACACACAACAAAGAAAAUAACAUAAUACGGGGAAAUGGUAAACCAAUUUGAAGUGGUUGGCUCCGAACCAAAACUAAUGAAAUGCAUAACGCAAAUGGAUUUAUCAGAGUCGGUUGGGGCCGGCCCAGCUGGAGAUCCAAAGAAGGGCGCCGACCAACCGAAUAGGAUUCUUCUAAUUAAGCGCCCGCUUCUGCAGAUGCCCAAAGAUAGCUUCCGGUGAUUAAAUGUCAGAAACAAGACCAAGCCACCGGGGCCAGCAGAGAACUACGCAUAAACACGAAGCCCCAGGGAAGGGAAAACAAAGCCAAACAAACCAUAGAGGUGGGAACAAUUUCUACGCAACUCACGGCCCGGCCCAUCUCAGCUUUCUUUAUGCUUUUAUGGCUUUUCCCCCACUAAUUUAGUUGGAUCUUGGACCAGGCCGAAUGCAAAUGGGGCAAUGGACAGUGUUUCAGAGGCUGUACAUUCGAAAAAAUAAUAGAAGUUGGCUUAAAGUUAAAGGGUUUUGAAAAUAUUUGAAUACUAAUACUAUAUUAUAGUAAUUUAAGAAGAGAAUUUUGUAUAAUUAAUAGAUAUUUAGUAACUUG